UACAGAGGGGGCAAGCGUUGUUCGGAAUUACUGGGCGUAAAGGGCGCGUAGGCGGCCUUCUAAGUCGAACGUGAAAUCCCCGGGCUCAACCCGGGAACUGCGUCCGAUACUGGAAGGCUUGAAUCCGGGAGAGGGAUGCGGAAUUCCAGGUGUAGCGGUGAAAUGCGUAGAUACCAGGAGGAACACCGGUGGCGAAGGCGGUUUCCUGGCCGAGUACUGACGCUGAGGCACGAAAGCGUGGGGAGCGAACGGG
rnacentral:rRNA from 1 species